rnacentral:tRNA from 13 species
UCCCCAGUGGCGCAAUUGGUUAGCGCGCUGUACUUAUACAGCAGUAUCUGCGAGUAAUGCCGAGGCUGUGAGUUCGAGCCUCACCUGGGGAA